rnacentral:lncRNA from 1 species
AGAAAUGUGAAUGUGGAUAAAUACGUCUCCACCAUUUCAAGAUAUAUGUGAAGACCAUGAGUUCCUAUUUGAUGCUUGAUUUUGAUUGGAUCUUGUAUAAAUAUUUCAUUGUGUGAUAUGUUGGUUAAAGCUUGAUAUGGGGGUAAGAAUAUCGCAGGGUUAAGUUAUGCGAACAUACCAUUUUUCCCUUCCUUAAGCCAGGUGUGGGGGUAAGAAUGCCACAGGGAUGAAUUGGGCAAAAGUACCCAUUCUCCCUUUAUCUUGUUGAUAGUAUGUAUUGAUAUCUUAAUCGUAGAAUAGAUAUUGUAAUGCUUAAGAAUGGUGACGUGAUAAUUGUUGUGCUUAUGUGGAAAUGAUGAUGUGAAUCAUGAUUGGAUGAUACAUUCAUGUUAUGAAUGAAUGAUGUUGUAUAUGUGAGUUCAAACUGAUUUAUCCUUGCAAAUGAUUUGUAAGUUAAGCUUUUUAUGUUAUUGACUCUUUACGCCAAUUGAGUUUUAAAAUGCAGUUAUGGAAAUGUUGAAAUGAAGUUAUGGUCAUUGAAAGGAUUUAUAUGUUUAUUAUGUGUUUUUACAGAGUAUGGUUUAUUACAAAAACUCUCUCCUUUGGUUUGUCCCUUUCCCUAUAUCCAUUUGCGGAGUCUUUGUGACUCACCCGUUAUUUUCUCCUAUUUUAUUUUUCAGAUCAAUAGCUAGCUAG